AGUACGCUAUGUGAAUCAUCGAAUCUUUGAACGCACCUUGCACAUGCAGAGUCCAUCUGCACGUAUACCUGUUUGAGUGGCAUCAACACAUAUCCAGAUUGUUUGAUCUGGGAGUUGGGGCAGCAAGUAACAAUUGCGCCUCUAAAUGCAGCGAGGGACGGCAAGGCGCGCGCUUUGUUCAAGUGAGGAUGUUUGCCGCGUGCAAAACUAAUCGCGCGAACGCAGCGCAAGCGGAUGCGUGCACAACUCGACCAACAAAACACUUAAAAACAAUGCCCUCAAGUCAGGCAAGAGGACCCGCCGAACUUAGGCAUAUCAAUAAGCGGAGG
rnacentral:rRNA from 1 species